GACGAACGCUGGCGGCGUGCUUAACACAUGCAAGUCGAACGGAAAGGCCCUGCUUUUGUGGGGUGCUCGAGUGGCGAACGGGUGAGUAACACGUGAGUAACCUGCCCUUGACUUUGGGAUAACUCCAGGAAACUGGGGCUAAUACCGGAUAGGAUCUCCUGCAGCAUGGUGGGGGUUGGAAAGUUUCGGCGGUUGGGGAUGGACUCGCGGCUUAUCCGCUUGUUGGUGGGGUAGGGGCUGUCCAAGGCUUUGACGGGUAGCCGGCCUGAGAGGGUGACCGGCCACAUUGGGACUGAGAUACGGCCCAGACUGCUACGGGAGGCAGCAGUGGGGAAUAUUACAGAAUGGGCGGAAGCCUGAUGCAGCAACGCCGCGUGCGGGAUGACGGCCUUCGGGUUGUAAACCGCUGUCGCCUGUGACGAAGCGUGAGUGACGGUAAUGGGUAAAGAAGCACCGGCUAACUACGUG
rnacentral:rRNA from 1 species